rnacentral:pre_miRNA from 1 species
AAAAUAUUCCCUCCGAUCCAUAUUAAUUGUCUCAAAUUUGCCCAAAUAUGUAUGUAUCUAUGCCUAAAAAGCGUCUAGAUACAUGUAACAUUUCGACAAUUAAUAUGGAUCGGAGGGAGUACCAC